rnacentral:rRNA from 1 species
CGGAGGGAUCAUUAAAGAGUUCUAUAACUCCCAAACCCAUGUGAACAUACCUAACGUUGCCUCGGCAGGUCGCACCUACCUUGUAGCACCCUACCCUGUAGGGCCUACCCGGGAGGUGCAGGUAAGCCUGCCGGCGGCCCACCAAACUCUGUUUGAUAUUGAAUUCUGAACCUAUAACUAAAUAAGUUAAAACUUUCAACAACGGAUCUCUUGGUUCUGGCAUCGAUGAAGAACGCAGCGAAAUGCGAUAAGUAAUGUGAAUUGCAGAAUUCAGUGAAUCAUCGAAUCUUUGAACGCAUAUUGCGCCCAUUAGUAUUCUAGUGGGCAGGACCGUUCGAGCGUCAUUUCAACCCUUAAGCCUUCGUUGCUUAGUGUUGGGAGCCUACGGCAACGUAGCUCCUCAAAGUUAGUGGCGGAGUUGGUUCACACUCUAGACGUAGUAAUUUUUUAUCUCGCCUAUUAGUUGGACUAGUCCCCUGCCGUAAAACCCCCAAUUUAUCAAGGUUGACCUCGAAUCGGUUCAGACAAACUCGCUAAAUUGAAGCAUCUUAGU